GCUGGCUGCUCUGUUCACUCGUCAGCGCAAGUGGCGUGACCAUGUAAUUGGGGCACGGGGCCGGCGCGGCGCGCUGCGGGCUUGCAGAAUUUUGUUUGUUUGUUUGGCCGCGCGCUGGCGCAGCCACGGGCCGCAGUUACUGGGGCGCGCUGUCGUAACAAGCCGCGCGGUGUGGCCUGCACAUUGGGGUAGAGGGGGGGUAGUCUUCCCAGAUGUUCUAGUUAGUUGUUUAGUGAAUUUGACUUCAAUAACGAGCUUUUGUUAUGGUAGGCGCGGCAGGGCGCGCGAAUUUAAGCGCAAGUGAUUGGUGACUCGGGGCUCACUCAGGCGGAGGCUAUGCGUCUCACCUGUGGUCACGAGUUGUUAGUUCGUUCGUGAUGUAGGAAUUCAGGCUCACUCAGGCGGAGGCUAUGCGUCUCACCUGUGGUCACGAGUUGUUAGUUCGUUCGUGAUGUAGGAAUUCAAGCUUUCGGGCGGAAGCUAUGGUCGACGCCAGAGGCCACGAGUCGUUUAAUUUAAGUUAGGUCAUAAUGUAGUCGUCAAGCUUUCGGGCGGAGGCUAUGGCCCUCGUCAGGGGUCACGCGUCAUAGUUUUUAAAAUGUAAUGUUCGUUCGGGAUUUCAAGGGCAGGAGAGGCCCCUAAGUUAUUUUUUUUAAAGUAAUCGAUCAAGAAAGGCUUUUCGGAAAAUGUGAGUAUGGACUUAUCUUUGUUUUAAUUUUAAGUAUUAAUUAUGAUUUGAGGUAUUCGGAAGGACUAGGGAAGUGUUUAGUGAAGUUCUCUCAUUCUCUCUCUUGUAAGGUCGUUCAAUCGUUAAGGAAGUAAAGAGAUUAUUGUUUUAAAUUGUAAUCCCGCUAUUUAAAUGUUCUUUAAAAUGAUGUUGAGUAUUUGACUUUAAGAAUAAAAUAAUUUUAAUUAAGUAUUAUGUUAUUUUGCAAAAUCUCCUUAGUUCAGCUCUCACCAGACAUCCUGUACGGGAUGACGAACCUAUGAUCCUAGGUACAGUAAAGUAUUUUAUGAAGUUAAGACUAGUUGAUGCCAAGCGAGUUGUUUCUAUGUAAAGAGCUACGAUGCUCGCCCCCCCUCUGAAGGUGGAUCGUGACAGAAAUGGCGGUGGCACCGGCUAGGUGCACGUGACAGAAAUGGUAGAGUUCGCCGGAUAGGUUCUAUUUCUGGAGAGAGAGAGAGGUAGAUUUUUAUGUUUAUUAUUAAGUUAGUUUCAGCUUCUGAUAGCAGGUUAUUAAGAGUUUACUUGAGGAGAGGAUUACGGAAUUUUAGUCUAUAGUGGAGGAAGUCUUUGAGAUUUUUUUUUUGACGUAACAGAUGUUUAUUUGAGGAUACUUGUAAGGAUAAAGUUUAUAGUGAUAAGUUGUUUUAAGUCGUUGAAUUUAUUGUAGAUUUAUAUCGGGGAUUAUUACGUGAGGAGAAUACGUUAUAAGUUAAAUGCUUAUUAGAGAUAAUGCAAGUGGUUUAAUUUAAUUGAAGUUCAUUUUAAGAUUGUAGGUUAAGAGAAUUAUAAUUUAAAAUAAAGUUUUUUGUCGUAAAUAGGAAUUAUUUUCAAGAGAAGUUUGUUUUGUUUUCGUGCGCGUAGGAGACGAGACGUACGAAUUAAAUCAGUCGAGGGAAGGAUAAACGUUAGAAAGGAAUUAAAGAGAAAACGAGAGUUUAUGUAAAAGAGAGUUAUAGAAUUUAUAGUGAUGUUUUGUUUUAAUUAGAAAAAUUUUGAGAGUUGUUUCAGAACGACACGUCAGUGGACGUGGCAGAAUGAACACGUGACGGGGAGGUGCUGAGACCUAGCGGAGAACGGAGGAACCGCAAGCGAGGGUUGGCGCACCUGAUGGAAUUCGGUGACGUCACGGGCUCAUACGGAGACGUGGACAGGCCGUGACCUUGUUUUGAUCAGCUGUACGGUAACUUAGCGAUAAGAAAAUAGACUAUUGGUUAAAUAAAUUUAAAUUUAAGUGUGUUUUAGGAGAAGAGGAACUUUCAGUAUAUUCCUUAAGAUGAGCUGAGCAGCAGUCCAGUUUACAAGAUGACAAGAGUUCGAGAGACAAGAUACAAGAUCACUGAAACAAGAGCCAAGACUGAAGAUUCAAGAGAAGAGAAAGCUGGCAGCCAUGGACUUACAAGUGGAGAUUAAUAAGGUCAUGUAAAGUUUUAUUUUUUUUUAUGGAAGACAGUAACUGGAGUUUUUUUUUGUUAUAAACAUUAUUUACAGAACUUUUUAGGUUAUAGUAAUGUAAUGGAACUAGUGAGUUGUGGUAGCUGUCAAAAAGAACUAAUACCUUAAGUUUAAUUUUUAAAGUUAAUUUUCUUAAUUUACAGAGGGAUUAGUAGUUUUUUUUAAAACCUUAUUUAGGUUGGAAUUUAAAUACAAUAGCUUAUUAUAAAUGUGUACGAACAGUUCAAGUUCACAGUACUGAUAGGUAGGUCAGAUGAUCUUAUUGAUUUUGAUGAUUUGUUGUUUUGAGUUGAUUUUUAAGUGUUGUGAAUUAGACAAUGAAAUAGUUCUGAAAACUUAAAUUAUUUCAAGCUAAGAAAUAGUAAAGUUAAUUGUAACUCAAAGGACACCAGAAUUUAAUUUUUUUUUGAAUUAGUAAUGUUUGAAAAUUUUAUACUUUACAAGAAAGGUUAUAAACAAACAGAUCGGAUGGAACAAGGAUGCAGUAAAUCACAAUUUCAUUUAGAAUUAUUGAUUAGCUUUUGAGGUUAUGAAGUAAAAGUAAUUAUAGUUUAAAAGUUUGAAUAAAAAAAAAAUGUUUUUUUUUUAAUUUGUUUGAAAUAGAAAGUUUAAAAGUUAAUUAGUCAUGAUCUAGGUGGGUGAUGGGGUGGGAAUUGGCCACUCUUUUUCCCUAUAACCUCCCUAACAUGGCCUUCUAUUACAACUAACAGAAAUAAAGAAGAAGAAAAAUGAAGAAUUAUUAGUUAGAAUGUUUCUUUCAUGAAGAUACCUGAUGAACUUUUACUGUUUGGAAGAAUAGAAGCAAGGUUAGUCAGAUAUUUUUACUCAGAAGAAGAAGAAGAUAAAGCAGUUUUAUGACUCGACAAGCCAGAGAUUGGUGUUUCCCCUCUGCGCUUCUAUUGACUACGUUGUUUACUCUCAUGGGAUAGCUGGUUCGGCACCAUGGAGAGAGAUUGGUGGGCAUUGUGGUUGCCCCCAGAAGAAAAGAAGAGUAGAAGAGGUUAUGGGUGGGUCAUGUGAACUGACCUUCAACCCAGUUACUUCGUGGGGACUAUUUGCUGUAUAGAGAAGAUCAAGACUCAAGAGGUAGGGAAAAUCAUUGGAGGUCAUGUUUCCCUUCCUUAAGUUUUUCCUAUCAAAUUAUUUGCCUGAUUAGAUUAUGCUAAGGGUGGGAUAAUUUAUGUUAGCAGUUGAAUUAAUUAAUUUUAUUUUUUUGUGUGUUUGCAUCCUUGCCCAUCGAUUGCAGUUUAGUAGUUAGUUUUGUAUUUGUCAGGCGUGAUGGUAAUGCCUGUUGAUGAUGUUUCAGAAUUGUAAUCUGUUCGUGAUGAGGAUGGCACAACUCCGAAGCAGAUGUGGGGAGAAGUUGUGAGCUGCCCUGGAAGCCAGUCCAGUAGCUGUUGGAGUUGAGUGGUGUUUGCUGAUGGCCAGCCCAGGGAGCUACUCUUCUCGACAACACUGACUUCGAGGAGUUGCACCAACCUUCACGAGAUAAGAGUUUAAUUAAUUGAAACACUGUAAGGACACUUAAUUUUUUUUGAAGAACGAAAGAAGUAUGGUAAUAAACGGAAACCGAAAAAAAAA